UACGUAGGGUGCGAGCGUUGUCCGGAAUUAUUGGGCGUAAAGGGCUCGUAGGCGGUCUGUCGCGUCGGGAGUGAAAACUCAGGGCUUAACCCUGAGCCUGCUUCCGAUACGGGCAGACUAGAGGUAUGCAGGGGAGAACGGAAUUCCUGGUGUAGCGGUGGAAUGCGGCAGAAUAUCAGGAGGAACACCGGUGGCGAAGGCG
rnacentral:rRNA from 1 species